UACAGAGGUCUCAAGCGUUGUUCGGAUUCAUUGGGCGUAAAGGGUGCGUAGGCGGCGCGGUAAGUCGGGUGUGAAAUCUCGGAGCUUAACUCCGAAACUGCAUUCGAUACUGGCGUGCUUGAGGACUGGAGAGGAGACUGGAAUUCACGGUGUAGCAGUGAAAUGCGUAGAUAUCGUGAGGAAGACCAGUGACGAAGGCGGGUCUCUGGACAGUUCCUGACACUGAGACACGAAGGCCAGGGGGAGCAAACAGG
rnacentral:rRNA from 1 species